GACGAACCGUGCGAACGUUGUUCGGAUUCACUGGGCGUAAAGCGCGCGUAGGCGGCCACUUAAGUCGGAUGUGAAGGCCCCUGGCUCAACUGGGGAAGUGCACCCGAAACUGAAUGGCUUGAGUGCGAAAGAGGGUCGCGGAAUUCCCGGUGUAGAGGUGAAAUUCGUAGAUAUCGGGAGGAACACCGGUGGCGAAGGCGGCGACCUGGGUCGACACUGACGCUGAGGCGCGAAAGCGUGGGGAGCAAACAGG
rnacentral:rRNA from 1 species